rnacentral:rRNA from 1 species
GAUGAACGCUAGCUACAGGCUUAACACAUGCAAGUCGAGGGGCAGCAUGAUUGAAGCUUGCUUCAAUCGAUGGCGACCGGCGCACGGGUGAGUAACACGUAUCCAACCUGCCGAUAACUCGGGGAUAGCCUUUCGAAAGAAAGAUUAAUACCCGAUAGUAUAGUAUUUCCGCAUGGUUUCACUAUUAAAGAACUUCGGUUAUCGAUGGGGAUGCGUUCCAUUAGAUAGUUGGCGGGGUAACGGCCCACCAAGUCAACGAUGGAUAGGGGUUCUGAGAGGAAGGUCCCCCACAUUGGAACUGAGACACGGUCCAAACUCCUACGGGAGGCAGCAGUGAGGAAUAUUGGUCAAUGGACGAGAGUCUGAACCAGCCAAGUAGCGUGAAGGAUGACUGCCCUAUGGGUUGUAAACUUCUUUUAUACGGGAAUAAAGUGGAGUAGGCAUACUACUUUGUAUGUACCGUAUGAAUAAGGAGCGGCUAACUCCGUG